ensembl:lncRNA
CUCUGACCACGGGUCCAUCGCAUUGCAAGGGAAGGCUGCUGCUCAGCGCACACCGCCCCGUCCCAAAGCAAGGCUCUGCACGUAUCGGGACUAAGACGCACUGUGCAGCACGGCUCACGAGUCCUCAGAGUCCUCUGUAAAAGUGAAAUGGCAGAGCAAGAACAAGCGGCAGUGGCCCAUAGACUGUGCACUCGUGCCUGGCGUUAGGAGGACCAUCUCCUGCCAUAGGAAAUUGGAAAUUUCCUUAUCUUCUGAUCUUCCAGCUGAGGACAUGGGGCUCUGAGGGCUCCAGGCCUUGCCCGGUCACGCAGCCGGGUGAGAUUGAUGACUCGGGAGCAAACUGUUGAAACAACUAACUCACCGUGAACCUGAAAAGACUUCCUUUCCUGGUGUCUCCAAUCUUCCUCUGCCACUCUGCCCUUCCCUUUUAGAGGAGUGUAAAACACAG